AACGAACGCUGGCGGCGUGGAUAAGACAUGCAAGUCGAACGGGACUAAAUCUGUAGCAAUACAGGUUUAGUUUAGUGGCGAACGGGUGCGUAACACGUGGGCAAUCUGCCGAGAAGUGGGGGAUAGCUCGCCGAAAGGCGAAUUAAUACCGCAUAUGAUCAGUGAAGACAUCUUCACGACAUCAAAGCCGGGGCAACCUGGCGCUUCUUGAUGAGCCCGCGGCCUAUCAGCUAGUUGGUGAGGUAACGGCUCACCAAGGCUAUGACGGGUAGCUGGUCUGAGAGGACGACCAGUCACACUGGAACUGAGGCACGGUCCAGACACCUACGGGUGGCAGCAGUCGAGAAUUUUUCUCAAUGGGGCAACCCUGAAGGAGCGACGCCGCGUGGAGGA
rnacentral:rRNA from 1 species